rnacentral:rRNA from 1 species
GAUGAACGCUGGCGGCGUGCUUAACACAUGCAAGUCGAACGGAAAGGCUCCUGCUUGCAGGGGUACUCGAGUGGCGAACGGGUGAGUAACACGUGGGUGAUCUGCCCUGCACUUCGGGAUAAGCCUGGGAAACUGGGUCUAAUACCGGAUAGGACGAUGGUUUGGAUGCCAUUGUGGAAAGUUUUUCGGUGUGGGAUGAGCUCGCGGCCUAUCAGCUUGUUGGUGGGGUAAUGGCCUACCAAGGCGUCGACGGGUAGCCGGCCUGAGAGGGUGUACGGCCACAUUGGGACUGAGAUACGGCCCAGACUCCUACGUGAGGCAGCAGUGGGGAAUAUUGCACAAUGGGCGCAAGCCUGAUGCAGCGACGCCGCGUGGGGGAUGACGGCCUUCGGGUUGUAAACUCCUUUCGCUAGAGACGAAGCGCAAGUGACGGUACCUGGAGAAGAAGCACCGGCUAACUACGUG